ensembl:lncRNA
CCCAGCGUAAAGCACAAGGCUGGCGUGCAGAGUGAAGCGGAAAAAAAGUGCGAGAGAGAGGGUGAGAGAAAGAAAAAAACAAAACAAAAACACGGCUCACGAUAAGGAGCCUGAUCGCGUCGUUCAUGUCAAAGACCCAGCUCUAAGAACCAUUUCGUUUGCGACAGACACAUCACUACUGCCUGCGAGUUUGCUGCAGACAGAGGAGAGCUUAAGUUUUACCAGUUCCAUCGUUACACCACCGCUCCAACUGAACUCGCCUUUUGGAUACUGGUUAUAACUAUCAUUGGAAUUACACCACACUCCAAUCUCUAGGAGGGAAAUUUCCACAACUCACUGCCAGCCCUUCUUCCACCGUCACUCACAGGGAAUCCUGGAAUCCAGAAAACAACAAUGGUGGAGUUUGCGUUCUCUAGUCGCAUGACAGUGGGCGAAACAUUUCAUCACUCACCCUAAUGACUUCUUCAGUCAAUCGCUCAAGUACGGCAUCAGUCCUCCCAGCACGCCAGGCUCUGUGCUUUCGUUUUCUCCUCAUCAUUGUACAUUUACCCUGUCACUGCAAAUAGCUCUCACCUUUGUAAAUACCCCGUCACUGUAAAUAAACCUAAUUCACUGCACUCCCGAGCCUCUGUGUGUUUCUGUCACAUGAGUCCACCCUUUAGAGUCACCUAACAGGAUUGGAUAUCGGGGAGAAAUAAAAAUAUGUAACCCAAUCCAAUAAAUAUCACAAAAAAACCUCACAAAACUUGUGACAUGGCAUAACCAAGGUCAUGACCUUAGCACAUCGGAACAGUAU